rnacentral:rRNA from 1 species
GACGAACGCUGGCGGCGUGCUUAACACAUGCAAGUCGAACGAAAAUACCAAGCUUGCUUGGUUGAUUAGUGGCGAACGGGUGAGUAACACGUGAGUAACCUGCCCCUUACUUUCCUGGAUAACUGCUCGAAAGGGUAGCUAAUACGGGAUAUUCUGACCAGCCUGCAUGGGUUGGUUUGGAAAGGUUGUUUUUCUGGUAAGGGAUGGGCUCGCGGCCUAUCAGCUUGUUGGUGGGGUGAUGGCCUACCAAGGCUUUGACGGGUAGCCGGCCUGAGAGGGUGGACGGUCACACUGGGACUGGGAUACGGCCCAGACUCCGACGGGAGGCAGCAGUGGGGAAUAUAGCACAAUGGGCGCAAGCCUGAUGCAGCGACGCCGCGUGAGGGAUGAAGGCCUUCGGGUUGUAAACCUCUUUCGUCAGGGAACAAGGCACUGCUUUUUUGGUGGUGUUGAGGGUACCUGGAUAAGAAGCGCCGGCUAACUACG